AUGUCCAUCAGCAGCAGGUGAGAGAGCCAGUGUGUGCUGUUGAGGAUUUACACAACACCAAAGGGCAGAGUCAGUAGGAAGUUGUCCCUGAGAAACACCUGUGAUGUGCUUGAAAAAAAGAAUGUUGAUUACCUGUGAAAGUUUAGAGGUUUUCAAGUGGCCUCAUAAGCCUAAUAAUAACUUGGGCAGUCUGAACAAAUGAGGUUUGAUGAAGAAUCGAGCAAACAAGAUUGGCUGCUGCUUUAUCCUGCUAGUGGUGGAGCCAGGAAAGCUGUAUUCCAGAGGUUAAUUAGUGAGGAAGGAAACCAAACUAUAGGAAAGCAGUAUAUCUGCUGUAGAUGUGGUUACUGCUUGAAAUGACUAAAGAUUCAUCCCCCAGCAGAGAAAGAAUUUCUGACUAGCAGAAACAUGGCGUUGUAUGGACCCUUGGAGGUGUUUAAAGGAAAAACAAAAACCCUGUGUCCUUUGGUAGGCUCUUACUGCUUGCUCUUGGUGAUAGUGUGUCUGCAGGUAGAACUGCAUAAGGAUUUUGCUGGUAUUAUUCUGCAAGUAUUGGUGAUGAUCACACACAUCAAAGCAGGCAAAUAUUUGCUUGCGGUGUUUUUGUGUGUUUUGGGUUGGCUUCUUAGGUGAUAUCCUUGUAUAGAACACAUAGUGUUUUGAACCUCAUUAGAAAGAUUUAGGCCAGGUUAUAGGAAAGGUUGAAGUCUGAACUCUCACCUCUUUUUGUCAAUAUUGUCAUUCUCUUCCCACUAAAAAACUGAGCCUGGCCCAAAGUACUGCACAGCAGUUUGAUUACACAGCAGAUCUCGUGACUGUUUAAUAUCUCCUCUGGAUAAUAGAACUUCAAAGCUGACUUUUUUCAGCAAUAGUAAGUAGUUUUCAGAUCAUCUUUAAUGUUUUCUUAACCUAUCUGUAAUUGCUCAGAUAACUCAGAAGCUGUCUUGAGUUGAUUCCAUUGUCUCCUGUUACCAGGUCUGAAAAUGAGUCUGCAUGUCUGUGAUAAGGUCCUGCCCAGCAACUAUUAACUGUAUUCCAGAAAACUUUCGGCAUAAGCUGGUUCCGAUUACUUCUUCAUCAGAAUGUUCUAAUGGAAAGAAAUCAUUCAGUAGACUGAGAAACUGAGCGUACAGGUCUCUUGAGCACCGCUUCUAAGCUGAACCUGUCCAGUGUGGCUGUGUUAAGGAGUGUGGUAAGCUGGAGCCAAGGGUCAGGGGCUUUAUAUGCAGCUAGAUUCUAAGAUACUUUGUGGUAUCUUAAGAGUGAGUUACCUUUCUCUAUCCUCUUUUCCAGUUCAGCAGGACUGACUUGACAGUGCCACAAAUACUGUACUUUAAGACAGUGAUCAAAUGCCAUCACUACUUCAUAGUGGUCUUGGGGAGUAGGCUCCUAUGGUGGGAUAAACAAUAAUAGAGAUGUUACAAAUGUCCUGGGUUAUUUUUGGAUUUGUGGCUUGUAGGAUGAUGUGGGUGAGUUUAGUGACUGUGAUUUAACAAAGCCUUGAAUUCUGUAUAUUGGGAAUCUUGUGAGUCAUUUGAACUUAACAGCUUCAUCUGGAUGUUUUAUUUCUGUGAGACUUGUGGCUUCUUAAGGAUACGAGGAACUGCUGAGAACUUGUAAUUCUGUAAACAAAAACAGAACUACUUCCCCAGAGUAAAUGAAAAAAUGUAAGGAUAAGAACAUCUUGUUUGUGCAUUUUCUUACUGUACUUGUCAACCAUUUCUGGAGCACGCUCUGUUCACCCUCUUCAGGGUGUUUAAGUAAUUAAGAAAUUCUUAUUUUGAAAAUCAGCAGCUCAGAGGAUAAACAGUGUUCUUGUCUAGUAAUAGUAAUACUAAACAAUUUUCUAGUGCUAGAUCCUUAUUUCAUUCUUGUACUACUAUUGGUUUUGUUUAGCUGUAGAAUGACAGUAGACUGUAGAGGCAUGAAUUGCCUGACAGGUGCAGUAUUGGCACAUCACAUGCAGUUACAUCAUAAGAAGAUGUUAAAAGAAAUGUUUAAUGCAGUUUGACAGUGACCAUCUAAAA